GUGAGGAAUAUUGGACAAUGGGCGCAAGCCUGAUCCAGCCAUGCCGCGUGCAGGAAGACGCAUCUAUGGUGUGUAAACUGCUUUUGUACGGGAAGAAACACUCCCUCGUGAGGGAGCUUGACGGUACCGUAAGAAUAAGGAUCGGCUAACUCCGUGCCAGCAGCCGCGGUAAUACGGAGGAUCCAAGCGUUAUCCGGAAUCAUUGGGUUUAAAGGGUCCGUAGGCGGUUUAAUAAGUCAGUGGUGAAAGCCCAUCGCUCAACGAUGGAACGGCCAUUGAUACUGUUAGACUUGAAUUACAAGGAAGUAACUAGAAUAUGUAGUGUAGCGGUGAAAUGCUUAGAUAUUACAUGGAAUACCAAUUGCGAAGGCAGGUUACUACUUGUGGAUUGACGCUGAUGGACGAAAGCGUGGGGAGCGAGCAGGAUUAGAAACCCCUGUAGUCC
rnacentral:rRNA from 1 species